rnacentral:rRNA from 1 species
AGCGAACGCUGGCGGCAGGCUUAACACAUGCAAGUCGAGCGGGCAUCCUUGUGGUGUCAGCGGCAGACGGGUGAGUAACGCGUGGGAACGUGCCCUUCGUUUCGGAAUAACUCAGGGAAACUUGAGCUAAUACCGGAUACGCCCUUUUGGGGAAAGGUUUACUGCCGAAGGAUCGGCCCGCCUCUGAUUAGCUAGUUGGUGAGGUUAGGGCUCACCAAGGCGACGAUCAGUAGCUGGUCAGAGAGGAUGAUCAGCCACACUGGGACUGAGACACGGCCCAGACUCCUACGGGAGGCAGCAGUGGGGAAUAUUGGACAAUGGGGGCAACCCUGAUCCAGCCAUGCCGCGUGAGUGAUGACGGCCUUAGGGUUGUAAAGCUCUUUUCUCCGGGACGAUAAUGACGGUACCGGAGGAAUAAGCCCCGGCUAACUUCGUG